GGACGAAUGGCGGAAUUGGUAUACGCGCAGGUCUCAGAAGCCUGUGCCUUCACGGGCUUGAGAGUUCGAGUCUCUCUUCGUCCA
rnacentral:tRNA from 1 species